UAUAUAUAUACACACAUAUACAUAUAUGAUAGGGAGGCCAAAUGGAUCGUCUAGCUCACAACAAAAAAGUCACCUAGUUUCAGCCCAACAGACACCAACGCCGACCAAACGUGUGCUUGGUCUGGCCCAGUAUCAGCCCGACCUUGGACUCCGCCGAAAGCUCCUUCAAACUUGGAUAUUCGCCAACGCGCCCCGGCCAAGCUCG
rnacentral:lncRNA from 1 species